UGGGGAAUAUUGGACAAUGGGCGAAAGCCUGAUCCAGCCAUGCCGCGUGUGUGAAGAAGGUCUUCGGAUUGUAAAGCACUUUAAGUUGGGAGGAAGGGCAGUAAGUUAAUACCUUGCUGUUUUGACGUUACCAACAGAAUAAGCACCGGCUAACUUCGUGCCAGCAGCCGCGGUAAUACGAAGGGUGCAAGCGUUAAUCGGAAUUACUGGGCGUAAAGCGCGCGUAGGUGGUGUGGUAAGAUGGAUGUGAAAUCCCCGGGCUCAACCUGGGAACUGCAUCCAUAACUGCCUGACUAGAGUACGGUAGAGGGUGGUGGAAUUUCCUGUGUAGCGGUGAAAUGCGUAGAUAUAGGAAGGAACACCAGUGGCGAAGGCGACCACCUGGACUGAUACUGACACUGAGGUGCGAAAGCGUGGGGAGCAAACA
rnacentral:rRNA from 1 species